rnacentral:rRNA from 1 species
AGCGAACGUUUGCGGCGGGCCUAACACAUGCAAGUCGAACGAGAUCUCGGGCUUCGGUCCGGGUGAAAGUGGCGCACGGGUGCGUAACACGUGGGUAAUCAACCCUCUGGAUCGGGACAACCCGGGGAAACUCGGGCUAAUACCGGAUACGUCGUCGGAGCUCUAGGGCUCUGACGGGAAAGGCCUGCAAGGGCUACCAGAGGACGAGCUCGCGGCCCAUCAGCUAGUUGGUGAGGUAAUGGCUCACCAAGGCGAAGACGGGUAGCUGGUCUGAGAGGAUGGCCAGCCACAUUGGGACUGCGACACGGCCCAGACUCCUACGGGAGGCAGCAGUGGGGAAUAUUGCGCAAUGGACGAAAGUCUGACGCAGCGACGCCGCGUGUAGGAUGAAGCCUUUCGGGGUGUAAACUACUGUUGCCCGGGACGAAACUCCUUUUUCGUAGAGGACUGACGGUACCGGGUGAGGAAGCACCGGCUAACUCUGUGCCAGCAGCCGCGGUAAUGUCGAUA